rnacentral:lncRNA from 1 species
UUAGCGGACGCCCACUGCCAGAGCCUCUCCGUCCAGAGCUCACCGGAACGCGCCGCAGUCGCCAAGCCGGUGAGAAGAGGAGGACGCUGGGCCGUUUUCCAGAUCAAACGCUCCUCCCUUUGGAGGAAGGACUCGAGGUUGCUUUGGCAGCUUUUGCAGACAGGCGCACAGCGGCUGCAGAAAAGCCUCCCCCACGGGGGCCCCGAUCCACAGGCCCGACCAGCGCGGCGGAGAAGGCAGAGGCUCUCGGGGGCACCGCGGGGGCCCCAGGAAGCCUCGGGCGCGGGUCCGAGCGGGGCUGAGGCGCCGCGAUCCCCAGAAGCCGGAGGAGCCCGGGCGGAGCGCCGAGACUUGACGCCGACACAAGGGAAAACCUAGAGGAGAGCAAACGGAGACGGACUUCCGCUUCCGGUUUCCGCCCCGCGCUCAACGUAAGGGGCGGGGCCUCCGGAGCUCAGGGAUCAGGAAGUGCGAUGGAGAUGGGGUCGAACGGGGGCGGCGGCUGCUUGCGCCCAAGAGGCAGGCAUGCUGUUGGACCUGGAUCCAGAGCAGGCUUUUCAAAUAGACCAGGGCCAGAGAGCAGGACCCGAGCUGGAGGACCGAGCGGAGCGCUGGGGACCGAGUUAGAAGCCGGCCGGACGCGGAGGGCGGGGCUUGCGUCAUGGCUGUCCCGGGAGGGCGUGGUUCGGGGCGGGGUCAGAGCCCAGGCUUUGUGUACCGACUGCAGGAAGCUCAUCAAAGGCCUUUCGACUGGCCUUUCUCGUGAUUUCUUCAGCCCGAUGCAGCGGUGUGCACAUGUUAGCAAAGGAGGUCAUCAAGAAGGUGUGACUGCCAGUUGAUACUCAGCUGAACCCAGACAAUCGGAGGCUCCCCACUUCGUCCCCUGUCCUUGGAGUAUGCAUUCUGCUUGCCUUCCCUGUUUCCAGAAACUGCCCCAAAUUCAGCCUUGAGAUAGAAAUGUGGUGCUGAGACUAUCUAGAUGGUGUAUGCGUGAUGGAACUCAGUUAAGGCCUCUGUAUAAACUUAAAGAUUUGCUGGGCAGGUGCAGAAAACUACUCAUCUUGCAGCCGCCCAGACGAGCCUCGUAAGAAGAUUAGCCCUCAGCUAACUACUGCCAAUCCUCCUCUUUUUGCUGAGGAAGACUGGCCCUGAGCUAACAUCCGUGCCCAUCUUCCUCUGCUCUAUAUGUGGGAUGCCUACCACAGCAUGGCGUGCCAAGCGGUGCC